rnacentral:tRNA from 1 species
CAAGAAGUAGUUUAAAUAGAAUAUCAG